rnacentral:lncRNA from 1 species
GGACAGCCAACCCCUGCAGGGAAAAGUGGCACGUACCCAGACAGCCGCAGACUGUGCACGCGAGAAUGAUGGCCUCAAUCCGCCUGCAAGACUCUUCAGUGCCUGACAACGACGCCCUGACACAGCGCACUGCGGCCCCCGGGCCCUAAACGUGCGCAUUUUAUACCUCUGAUAAUCUAAUUACCUGCUACAGUCCUAACAGAAGAAAUUAGGUAUUAUGCAAGCCUUCCUGUGCAAGCAGGUAUGUUUCGACAAGUAUCCUACCGAUAAAAAAAUCCGGAAGACCUGGCCCGCAGAGAACAGCAACAAAGGCACUCCUUAUAUACAACAAAUGUUAUGUAUAUAUUGGCUACCUGGAACAAUACCCGUAUGCUUCAAAUUAGGCAGCAUGGUGUCUUGGCUGUUUCUAUAGGUGUUGCAGGAGGAGGACGAUGGCACCAUAGCAUAAGACGGCCUCCUGUGGUAACAAUUCAUACACCGUAAUACUUACCUGUCUGCACAAUGUGGAUUUGUUCAACUGCUUCUUGACUUCUCGGUGUUGCGUUGCUUUACCUCGCAAAUGGCUUGUCUGAAUUCAGCACGGCAUCUGAGUUCACAAUGGACGCCGAGAAAUGUAUAAUUAGGUCCCCUAGUAUGCUCAACCUUUUGUAAU